GCAGCCGUGGCCGAGUGGUUAGGGCGAUAGACUAGAAAUCCAUUGGGGUCUCCCCGCACAGGUUCGAAUCCUGUCGACUGCG
rnacentral:tRNA from 1 species